GGCGGCGGAGGCCGAGCGCGCGCCGUUCCCGUGGUGCCCCGCGGCCAAGAUGGCGGACCGGCGGCGGCAGCGCGCCUCGCAGGACAGCGAGGACAGCGAGGGCUCGGCGGCCUCCGACAGCGCCGGGUCCGCUCCCGGUUCCCCCCGCUCCGCCCGCUCCCGCUCGGGAUCCGGAUCUCGCUCCCGUUCCCGGUCCGGCUCGCCCCGGCUGUCGCACCGCCCGCCGCGCGGCGCCGCGGGGGCCCUCGGAGCUGGGCCGCGGGGCCGAGGGGCUGAGAGCGCCGGUGGGGCCGGGGGGAAGAGCGCGGCCGAGUCGGAGUGUGAAAGUGAGGAUGGCAUCGAAGGAGAUGCUGUGCUCUCUGACUACGAAAGCGCCGAGGACUCGGAGGCAGAGGAAGAGGAUUACAGCGAGGAAGAAAGCUCCAAGGUGGAGCUGAAGCAGGACAGCAACGAUUCCUGCGAGUCGGCGGCCAGAGGGGAGAAGGGCAGUGAGAAGGUGGAUGCCAAGGGAGCGGUGACGGGCGAGCGGCAGAGCGGGGAUGGGCAGGAGAGCACCGAGCCUGUGGAGAAGAAAGUUGGGAAGAAGGUUCCCAAGCACCUGGAUGACGAUGAGGAUCGCAAGAACCCGGCGUACAUCCCACGCAAGGGGCUCUUCUUUGAGCACGACCUCCGAGGGCAGACGCAGGAGGAGGAGGUCAGGCCAAAGGGUCGUCAGCGGAAGCUGUGGAAGGACGAGGGGCGCUGGGAACACGACAAGUUCCGUGAGGAUGAGCAGGCCCCCAAGACCAGGCAGGAGCUGAUUGCUCUGUAUGGGUACGACAUCCGCUCAGCCCACAACCCCGACGACAUCAAACCCCGCAGGAUGCGCAAGCCACGCUUUGGCAGUCCCCCUCAGCGAGACCCCAACUGGUCCAACGAGAGGCCCCCCAAGCCCCCAAGGCACCAGGGUGCCAAGAGCCCCUCGGCUCCCCCACGGCCCUACAGCAGCCGCAGCUCUGGCAGCGCUGGCAGGAUGCCCCCUGCCAGGAACUACCCCAGGAUGGGGGGCUACAAGGACACACGUCCAGGCUACCGAGCUUCAGAGGCCACUGUCCUGCACAGGAACGGGGAACAAGCCAAGCAGGAGGGUGGCUACCGUGGGAAGCACACAGAGCAGAGCCCAUCCAGGGACACGUCCCCUGAGUUGGAGGUGGGACAUGUCCAUGGCAGCCCUGGGAAGGAGGAGGGGGCUCUGGAAAACCAAGCCACGGGUGCUGAUGCUGUGCAGCCACCACCGGACAGACCAGUGGAGAAGAAAUCUUAUUCCCGGGCAAGAAGGACCAGAGUCAAGGCUGGGGAGGCAGGGAAGCUGGCAGAGGAGGUGCCUGCUUCUGAGGGGCUGGCUCCUGUGAUUCCAAAAGCCACGCCAGCUGAGACCUCCCCCACACCAGCCAAGAGCAAUUGGGAGUCACCAGUGGAAUCCAGCGUGGAUGGACUUGAGCAGGAGAUGACCCAGAUGAACCUGACAGAGCAGAACUGGAGCCCGGGGCAGUCCCAGUUCAUCCCGCCCCGGGAGCUGAGGGGUAUUCCCAACCAUGUGCACGUGGGAACUGGGCCAGCACCGCAGUUUAACCGGAUGGAGGAGAUGGCAGUGCCGGGGGGGCGUGUGAAGCGCUACUCAUCGCAGCGGCAGAGACCCCCCGUGCCAGAGCCCGCACCCCCCAUGCACAUCAGCAUCGUGGAAGGGCACUACUAUGACCCACUACAAUUCCAGGGACCAAUCUACGCCCACGGUGAGAACCCAGCCCCGCUGCCGCCCCAAGGGAUGAUUGUGCAGCCGGAGAUGCACCUCCCUCAUCCAGGUUUACACCCCCACCAGACGCCCCCUGCCAUGGCAAACCCCGGCCUGUACCCCCCAGCAGUGUCCAUGCCCCCGGGGCAGCCCCCGCCGCAGCAGCUGCUCACUCCGACUUACUUCUCGGCCCCUGGAGUGAUGAAUUUUGGGAAUCCUGGCUACCCCUACCCCCCUGGAGCUCUGCCCCCUCCGCCCCCUCCUCAUCUCUAUUCCAACACGCAGGCGCAGUCCCAGGUGUAUGGGGGGGUCACCUACUACAACACUGUCCAGCAGCAGGUGCAGCCCAAGCCCUCCCCGCCCCGCCGGACGUCCCAGCCUGUGACCAUCAAGCCACCCCCUCCAGAGCCAAGCAAGCCCAGACCCGGGCAGACAUGUGCUGGUGGGUUCCUGUACAUGGGGAGGGCUGAGAAGCAAAUUGUCUGAUGGAGGGGCCCUGGAAAGGCCUCGUGAUGGAAAAAUCUGGAACCAUGAGGAGAAGUUGGCACAGGGGGGCUGGUUGUGCCCAGAGAGGACAGCAAAGGUGAAAAAUCAAAGGAGAGGAGCAACACGUAGGGACACAGCCACAGGAAUCCCAGCACCAGACUCAGCCCCUCGGCAAGGAGGAAGGCUGCUCCUUGGAAUGGCUCCUUCCCUGCGUGGAGGUGAGGCAGCAGGAUGAGCCACCUGCACUGUGCUCAGGACCAGGCACUUCCCCCAUGGCCUGAGCAGUGCCUUCCCAAAAUCCAUCUUGCUGCUGCCCACUCCCCUUCUCCCCCGUGCUGGGGCCGCCAAAGAACCAAUCCCUGAGUCGGUCCUUGGCCACAAGUUCUCCCAACUUCUCCCCGUUACUAAAUGUUCCUCGCUCCCUCCUGGGAUGUCAAACUCUGCUGGCUUGAUCGUGGUCUCUGUUUUUAUUUAAGGAAUGAAGCAGCUCCUUCAGUAAAGCUGAUUUGUUUCUUUUGGGUA